CGCGCCCCAGGGGCGGGUCCCCCCGGCACUGCUGCGGCCGCCGCGCUCCGCCCCGGGGUGGCGGCGCGAAGGGCCGGCGGUGCAGCGCGGCCGGAGGAUAACCCUCUUUCCUGACUUGGUUGAUGGUAUGGUCUCUGAAACUGUUGUGAUGGCCCAGGGCCUGGCAUGAGUGACCAGCUGGGAAACUGGGGAUGUGUAGGUAGACCUCGAUGCAACUUGCUUGAGUAUUUUGUUUUAGUGUGCUCACAUCUGGGCAUUUGAAGCUGAUGAAAUGCAGCACACAUCAACAGAAUUCAUCAAUUUUUAAGCAAGCAGAUAAGCAUUUGAUCCAAAAGAUGUUGCUCUAAGAGUCAGUGGACUCUAGUUUUGGCAGAACUGCUUGAAUCCCGCGACCAGGAAUGCUCUGCUGAACAUGCUGAACUGAGUCCCCAGAAGAGCAUGCCAGGAACGGGUUUGGUCACAGGUGACUUUUGAUACAACCAGGCAUUUUAGUGAAGGAGCCAUAAGAGAGAGAAGCCUGAAAAGACUAAAGCUGCAAGAACAGGAGCACAUUCGAAAAAGGGGGAAAAAAAGAGAGGGGGUUGAAAGAAAAAGACGUGGUGAUGAAAAGAAGUUCAAGAGAGAAAAAAGAAAGCUAAGCUCGAGAGGAGAGAAGAGAGGCAGAUAGAUGGAGAUGAGAAACACCCCCCAAAGCAGCAGAAGGUACCAGCUGAAGAACAGCAGUGGCCAGAGAAUAUGCCUGAAUGGGAAGAAAGGAAAUCCCUGCUAGCUCAGAGAAGAGUGGAGUCUGUCAGACUGCUUACAGUGCUGUUAAAUCGUGUGAACUUGGCAAGUCAAAAAGUGGAUCCUUCAUUGGGCGUAAGGAAGGACGAUUCAUUUUCUGAAACCGCAUUAAAAGACAUCCACCAGGAACUGAUUAACUCCCACUGUCACACGCACAAAGAGCUGAAACAGGAGGAAAAGUUUAAGUGCCUGUUAACCCAAAAAGGUGGUGGUUUGUGCAGUGAGGAAGGAGAUGUGAAUAAUUUCCAUGCAUCUGCUUGUCACAUAGUCAGGACAGUGUUAAAUGAGCCCUCUCCAGCCCCGCGUUCUGAGGGACUGCCUGGCAGAGACCUGUGCAACUCCUCUGGCUGGGGAUCUUUGCUGAUUACGGUCACCCAGGACAGCAGGGUCAUCGAAUCUCUGGGUGGAAGGGACCACCCAGCACUGAAUGCAGCUCACACACAGACAGUGCCUGAGGAAGAUGAUUGCAAAAAGCAAAAGGUUUAUGAGACUGAUGAAUUCAUCCAUUAUUUACUGAACUACUAUCAGACACCGCACUAUGCACGUGUUUGCUUAGAGCCAAAAAACUCGGUGAGCAAGUCCUGGUGGAAGAGAGUGGUGUCUGGUGACGGUGGUGGUUUUGACAUCAGCUUGAGUAACAAACAUGGGCAGCACCUCAGAGAAGUGAGUCCUGUACAAAACCUCCAGAAGAGAAAUUGUAGUAGCGAUAGUAAUUAUAGAUUGGUGAUCACUGUUGGGGAACUUGAAUCAACAGACAAAGUGUCAGAAAACAAGGUCCAUGAGGGCAAGCUUGCAAAAAAGUUGCAAGUGCAAAGGAAUGACUCACUCACUGUUGAUAACUUACCACAUGCAGUUCUGAAUCAUUCUUUGGAGUGCACUGCUGUUACUUGUGAUAAGGAGUUCAAACAAGAAGAUGGCAGAGAUGAAGGCACUAUAUCAUACGAAACAUGUAGAUCUGCUUGCAGAUUAAAGGAUUUGUUGGAAGAGAUCAGUGAUUCUGAGUACUUUAGAGAGGCAUGUGGCAGCUCAAUGAAGAGAGCAGAAAAAAGAUGUGAAGAAAUUUACAGCAAUUGCAAUAGAGGGUGCUUGCCUGCAAGAGGUGAGGAAAGAAAAUUGCUGGUUUACCAUAAAAAUGUAGCUCUGGAAGGUCAAGAGAAGGAAACCAACAAAUGUAACUCCUGUUCUAAUUCUGUCCAUGAGGGCUUGACAAGGCAGUGGGAACAUAAGCUUAAAAAGUCAUGCAAGCGGUCUAGUAGUAAAUUAAGACAUGAAGGACAGAAAAGUGAGAGACAAUCCAGGGAAGAGGAGAGGAAUGCUCAUAAAAUCAAGAAAAAGCGAAAAAAGCUUUCUUCUAAUUUUUUAUCCGAUGAAUGUGGCUUUUCAGAGACGGACAGUUGCAUGCAGCUGGAGUCACUCAGAAAGAUACAGAGAAAAUGUAAGAAAAUGUUCCACAAAAAAGUGAAAUUCAAGACACUUCACACCGCCAUGGCAGCACCAGGUGUGACCCCUCGCGAUGGCUCACCCCUUCAGGAGACCCUCCAGAGGAGAGGUGAGAAAGAGGGACACCACAGCUAAGGGGACUGACUUUGACAGACUCUGCAGGUGAGGAGAUGAGAGGAAACUAAUGCUGAGAAGAGAGAUGGAUGCAGACGUCAGAGGAUGCCCUCUAUUUCCUCUUGAGAUAAUUCAGACAAACCCCUGCUCAGAUACUUUUUGUGGAGCAGAACCCAGAAGAGGAUGCUGAACAGCUACAAUAUAAUAGUUCUGAAUUUUUUGUACAGAAGUGGGAGAAGAAAGCCCUUUGAUCAUUAAAAGGUAUAUGAAAUACUGGUUUGGGGUUUUUUUUGCUUAGGUAAUUCCUUUGGUUAGAAUAUCUGACUGGUGCAGUGAGCCACAAAAGCAGAAUCUGUGUUUGCCUUUUGGAUAACAGAGGACCAAAACUUUCCCCAGGGCCAGACAAACUUUCAUGGACCAGCUGCUAAGAAUUUGAAAGGACAUGAAUUGAGAUCUUGGAGUGUUAUACUUUGAUUAAAUGUAGGGAAUCAUGGAAAUAUCAAAAUCGCAGUAUUUAGUAAUGAGUCAUUGGAAAAAGACAUACUUGUCAAUCCUAGAGCAAGCAUAUGAAGUGCCUCCUCAAUCAGGCUGUUAUAAUGAUGGGACUGGAAGGUGUGGGGGACAUUUACACUCAAUUGUGUGAAGUAAUAGAUUUCCAGAUAUGAAAAAAAAUCCCAUCUUCUGUAAAACCCACACUGGAAAAAUGCUUGUUUUCUAUUCACAAUUCUAGAGGUGUUUCUAAAAACUUGCUGGUCUUUGGGAGGAAGGAUUUCACUGAACUUGUGCUCGAUGUAGUGUUCCCAGGGAUCUGAAUGGUUGUCUAAGCAAAGCUCUGAGUGUUCGAUAAUGAAAGGGCAAUGCUUCUCAGCCUGCUGCUGACAGUCCUCUGUAAAUGCAGGCUGACAGUUUGUUCACAAAAUUUCCAAGGCACAUGUGGUGAGGUAGCUAUUUAGUACGAGUUUGCUUACAAAUAAUUUCCAGAGGAAUUGUGAAAUGUUGUCGGACUUGUGCUGCAUGUAGGUAAAAAUGUGAAAAUGCAGUCUAGGAGCUUGAAUUAUAUCCAUAUUUAUUCAGCUGGCUAUAUCUAGAAGACAGCCACAAUUGCUUUUGGACAGAGUCCCUUAGCAAGAUAUAGAGGACCAGCUCAAAGUUCAGUACACUGAUUAUUGCAGCUUUCAUUUUAUUAAUGCUUUAUUUAUUACAUGUCAGUAGACUAAGUUAAUGUGAAAAUGUUGCCUUCAUUACAUAGAAUCUUACCCAUAUUUGUAACUUCUGCUCUAAUAAAUAGUAAUAAAAAAGAAUAAUUGUAAUUGUUUGUGGUAGAUAGAUUUUCCCCCAGUCUUCAAUACUGGUGAUUCCUACAGGCUUCUAAGCUAGGUUUUAUCAGCCUUCUCUGUUCAUAUGUUCAGAUGUUGAGUGCCUUUUCAGGGUUAUGAAUGACAAAUGGUUGCUACUCAAAGUAGUGUUAAUCUAUUACUUUUAUCUAAAAAGAUCUUAUUUUCUUGACAGAAAUAUUUUCUGAAUAUUUUGGAGAACAUUUAUGCCCCUCUUAAGUCUCCUUUUUAGUAUUUUAUACAGUUCUAAUGAAGAUCAACUGUUGUACUUGUUGGCUGUGUAAAAUGUUUUCAGUUGCACUGAUGUGACAUACCAAGGGUGUUUUUUCUCUAUGCAAUAUUUGCAGAUUAAAGAUGACAAAACUUCCCCCUCUGUCAAUCUAUAGGCAGUUCUGUGUCCAUGAGUACCUGUUUCCCAUGAGACAGGCCUUUUGAUUACAGGUGAGGAAGUUAUUUCUUUUUGUUAAUCUGGGGGAGAAGGAACAAACGAUUUCCUUCAGUGUAAAUUUCCAGUGUUUUAUCAAUGUGCUGGCACAAUAUUCAAUAACAAAUAAACACUCCAGUUCUGCAAUUGCUUCUUGCAUUCACCUACAUUGAUUGAAACUGAUAAAGCAAAUCCUCUGUCUCCAAGUCCUCAUUCCAUGUAAAACCUCGUUAGUAAAUAAAAUAUGCAUGCACUUUAAAUUGA